GGCCACUACCAGUUCAUUUGUUUAUUCAUAUCAGAAAAGGUUUGCUGGCAUUUCUUCUGCAGUGGAGAUCGAUGUAUCCCCUGCUCCAGAAGCAAGGGCAGCAUGCAGUUACACCCACAAAAACAUCAUCAGGCACUGCGUUGAUCUUCUUUUACUUCCAGGAUGAUAUGAGAUCUUCAUGUUCUGUUGUGAUGGCACAGCGCUCAUAAUUGGUUCCAGGCUUCUGCGCAGGCAAAGGAGAAGUCUGCGUUUGUCAAACGAUGCAUGUGUGGCUCAGGACGUUGUCUCUCACCCAACAUGGUGCGGCCAAUGCUAGCUUACUGAUGACUGACCUCUUCUAGAUGGCUUCAAUUUUAUAGCAAGCUUUUAAUCAGGAUGCGGUAGCUAGGGUUAGCAAUUCUGAAAGAUUUCAGUGUGGAGAAAGAGCAAAAAUGUUGAGUGCCGGUUUUCACAUGCACUAGUCCAGAAAGGUGUGACAAAAGGUUGAGAUCAGAAGAAAACUCCUU